AUAUACAUCUACUCUAUACCCACAAAAAUUCUUUUAAAAAAAGAUCAGCAUGGCCCCUGAACAAGGAUGACAGGCAAAUUCAUGAAGUGUUUCAUAUUUUU
ensembl:snRNA U6 U6 spliceosomal RNA